GUAGCCGCACCAGCGGGGCUGACUCAAGCUGCGGAGCCUUGCCUGACUCCAUACCGACACUGUCCGGACCCUGUUCAGCUGUGGCAUCCUAUGGAAAUCUGUCCCGCAGUCCCCGCAAGUGGGUAGCAGGGGAUAUGGAGAGGCUUAAAAGUGCCAGUGGAACAAAGCAGAUUCUUUCCCAUCCACAGAGAAAUAGGGUCAGCCUCCCGCAGCCCAGCGGAGGACUCGGCUCCUCACUCAGCCUGCAGAGACGACAGCUUCCUGGGCAGAGAUAGAGCAGCAUGCCACGAGAGACUGGUUUGGUCCAGAGUGGAAGGAGAAGGUGUGGAGUACAUGACCAGUGCCACCGGGAUUGGUGUUUCCCAACCAUCAGGAAGAUAUCCAAGCUGCCAGCGUCAGGAAUCUGGUUGCCCUCGUUUUUCCUUCUCAUCCUCUGACCUUGAGGAUCCUGCAGUCUCCUGCAAGUGACUCUUUCUUCUUCACCUUUCUCCUCCGCGGCAGGGAAAGGUGUCUUGUUCACUGCGAGGAGAUGCUGCGAGGUUUCAGGAGCUGAUGUCUCUGAAGACCUCUUCGGCAGAAAGCUGUUGGCAUUUGCAAUGCAGCUUCAUCACCGAGCUGAAGUGAGCAAAAAAGGUUUCCAGAGAGGAUGUUCUGGGUGACAUCUGCCGCUUUAGACUUCGAGGCAUUUGCAGAGAUGAAAUGCCAAUUUAAUCAUCACGUCUUCAUGAAGCCCGAAGAUCACCGGUUUUAGAAUGGCUGUAGAUUCACACCACGGGCGCAGGAGACUGUUAGGGGAAAAUGACCCGUAACUCCGGUGUCAAAGCUCUCCUUUGGUGCUUAUGUUACAGAGCAUCUAAUUCACGCGUUACA